AUUUCAGUUCUAAUUUAGAAAUUUAUUAGCCAAUGUUAUAGUCUAUACAGUUUGUAUUAAAAUAUAAAUGCAGCAACAAUUUAUAACAAGUGAUAGAACAUUACAUGAAAUAGGCAAUAAAGAUGUCCAUGGAAAGCAUCACAAAUUGUGCAUAAGUAUGUUAAAUUUCUUAAGAAAAAAAUAAGCAUUGGCUAAGUGGCAAACAACUACUUCUAUGUAACAUUAAAUGAAAUACCUUAAUGACUGAAGAGUAAUUUUAUUACAGCUACAGUAGCACUAUCCCUGGUUCCUGGGAAAAUAUCAGAGAUAAUUUCUUUUUUAAAAUGUUGACCCCCCCCCCCC